GACGAACGCUGGCGGCGUGCUUAACACAUGCAAGUCGAACGGAAAGGCCCUGCUUUUGUGGGGUGCUCGAGUGGCGAACGGGUGAGUAACACGUGAGUAACCUGCCCUUGACUUUGGGAUAACUUCAGGAAACUGGGGCUAAUACCGGAUAGGAGCUCCUGCUGCAUGGUGGGGGUUGGAAAGUUUCGGCGGUUGGGGAUGGACUCGCGGCUUAUCAGCUUGUUGGUGGGGUAGUGGCUUACCAAGGCGUUGACGGGUAGCCGGCCUGGGAGGGUGACCGGCGACACUGGGACGGAGACACGGCCCAGACGGCUACGGGAGGCAGCAGGAGGGAAUCGUCGGACAGGGACGGAAGGCUGGCCGAGCAACGCCGCGUGAGUGAAGAAGGGUUUCGGAUCGUAAAGCUCUGUUGUAAGAGAAGAACGAGGGUGAGAGUGGCAAGUUCACACUGUGACGGUAUCUUACCAGAAAGGGACGGCUAACUACGUG
rnacentral:rRNA from 1 species